GAGAGGGAACGAAGGCGAAAUUGCAGCAGCUUAACUCACUUAACCAAAUCAGCAGACUUUUCUAACUGAUCAAAUGCCAACAGUACUUACAGCAUUCUCCAGUUGCAAAAAAAAAAAUAGAGACAGAAAGUAAAAGAAAGAGAGAAAUGUUAGCAAAUUUCUGAUAGCCUUUUUGAUUUUUAGUUCAUAAGCCAAAUGGAACAAUUGAAUCAGGGGAGGAUAUUCAGAAGUCAAUAGGUCAGAGACAAAUACUAAAUGCAAAGGAGUGAUUGCUCAUAGCUAGGGUGCCUGAAAAAUAGGCUCUGUGAACCCUUGCUUGAAAGUAUGCGAAACUACCAUGCCCUGCCCUUGGUGCUGGAGGUAAGAUAAAGCAGCACCUAAACAGCAUCUUUCAAAGGUCUUCAUUUGACAGCAUAGCUCUCCCUGAGCAUUCUAUCCUAUGGCACUAAUGGCCCUGGAGACUCUGCUAAUAUUUCUUUCCCCUUCAAAAUUCACAGCCCAAUAUCAUGUCUGGUUUAUAUUUCAAUCUGAGCAAUGAGUAGGGAGCAACCCACAGCCACAUUGAGAGCCAGCCUUGAAAAUCAGAGGGACCUCUUGAUUUUGGACACGACUUUUCAGGAUCCUUUUGAGAAAGUGCUGGGCACUGCAAGCAACAUGUGAGACACCACGACGUCUGUUUUAUCCAUCGUGUGCCCUGUGCCUGGCAUGGAGCCUGUCCCACAGUAAGCAGGCAAGAAAUGAUUUUAAGUGAAAGAUUGAUUGGGCUGACUGGACUCUUUCUCCAUUCAAAAUAACCUUUCAUAUUUAUGCAACACAUAGUUUACCAACUUCACAGAAAUGAAAAACUUUGUGUGACGUGUUGGGGCUAACAAGAUGAAGAUGGACUCCUGCCAUCAUAAGGUUCCUGAUCUAGGCACAGGGAUUCCUGGAAACAAUUCCCCACAGAUAUCAAGGGAUGAUUGUAUUCGGCCAGAAAGUACAUCUCAAAGAGUAAGAAUUAGGCAAGACAUAGUUGGAUGUUGGCACUCCGUCUAGCCUGAAAGCAGUUAUAGAAGAAGGCUUUCUGAGAAGCGGUGCCACACGUCUUUUCAAUGUCAUCACAAGAGUGCCUGGUCUAACUCUCAGGGGAUACGUGCUUUUUGCCUGCUCAUUUAUUGGGGAGUGUCUGGAAAGAAUCUAUUGUUCGUGACGUCGCCUAUGUUCUCCUUUACUUCCCUAUUCAGUCAUUGGGUUGGAGCUACAUUUUAAGGCAAAUAAAUAAAUAAAUAAUUUUAGUAAAAGUUAAAGCAUCUUGGAAUUUUCCACUUCAGAAAGUUUAUUAAAAUUAUAUUUCUCUGGUGAUGGCAACUCUUCUUCAGGGAACAUGACGCCCCAUUAGUUUCCUUUUAUAACAAAAUCAGAAAGAGCUGAGGAAGUUAGACAGUCA
rnacentral:lncRNA from 10 species